AGCGAACGCUGGCGGCAGGCCUAACACAUGCAAGUCGAACGAACCUUUCGGGGUUAGUGGCGGACGGGUGAGUAACACGUGGUAACGUGCCUUUAGGUUCGGAAUAACUCAGGGAAACUUGUGCUAAUACCGAAUGUGCCCUUCGGGGGAAAGAUUUAUCGCCUUUAGAGCGGCCCGCGUCUGAUUAGCUAGUUGGUUGAGGUAAUGGCUCACCAAGGCGACGAUCAGUAGCUGGUCUGAGAGGAUGAUCAGCCACAUUGGGACUGAGACACGGCCCAAACUCCUACGGGAGGCAGCAGUGGGGAAUCUUGCGCAAUGGGCGAAAGCCUGACGCAGCCAUGCCGGGUGAAUGAUGAAGGUCGUAGGAUUGUAAAAUUCUUUCACCGGGGACGAUAAUGACGGUACCCGGAGAAGAAGCCCCGGCUAACUUCGUG
rnacentral:rRNA from 1 species